rnacentral:rRNA from 1 species
UACGUAGGGUGCAAGCGUUAAUCGGAAUUACUGGGCGUAAAGCGUGCGCAGGCGGUUGUGCAAGACCGAUGUGAAAUCCCCGGGCUUAACCUGGGAAUGGCAUUGGUGACUGCACGGCUAGAGUGUGUCAGAGGGGGGUAGAAUUCCACGUGUAGCAGUGAAAUGCGUAGAGAUGUGGAGGAAUACCGAUGGCGAAGGCAGCCCCUGGGACCUAACG